UACGUAGGUGGCAAGCGUUGUCCGGAUUUACUGGGCGUAAAGGGCGUGCAGGCGGUUUGUUAAGUGCAGGGUGAAAGCUCCCGGCUCAACUGGGAGAGGUCCUUGCAUACUGGCAAACUCGAGGGAGGCAGAGAAAAGUGGAAUUCCCGGUGUAGUGGUGAUAUGCGUAGAUAUCGGGAGGAACACCUGUGGCGAAGGGCGGCUUUCUGGGCCUUUACCUGAC
rnacentral:rRNA from 1 species